AAUGAACGCUGGCGGCAGGCCUAACACAUGCAAGUCGAGCGGUUAAAGCUCCUUCGGGAGUGUAUAAAGCGGCAAACGGGUGAGUAACACGUGGGAACAUACCUUUCAGUCUGGGAUAGCCGUUGGAAACGACGAAUAAUACCGGAUACGCAUUACGAUGGAAAGAUUUAUCGCUGAAAGAAAGGCCCGCGGCAGAUUAGCUAGUUGGUGAGGUAAUGGCUCCACAAGGCAACGAUCUGCAGCUGGUUUGAGAGAAUGAUCAGCCACACUGGGACUGAGAUACGGCCCAGACUCCUACGGGAGGCAGCAGUGAGGAAUAUUGGACAAUGGGCGCAAGCCUGAUCCAGCCAUGCCGCGUGAGUGAUGAAGGCCUUAGGGUUGUAAAGCUCUUUUAGUGGGGAAGAUAAUGUCGGUACCCACAGAAAAAGCCCCGGCUAACUUCGUGCCAGCCGCCGCCGUAAAAC
rnacentral:rRNA from 1 species